rnacentral:rRNA from 1 species
CUCCUACGGGAGGCUGCAGUUAGGGAUUUUGGGCAAUGGGCGAAAGCCUGACCCAGCAACGCCGCGUGAGUGAAGAAGGCCUUCGGGUUGUAAAGCUCUUUUCUAGGGGAAGAUGAUGACGGUACCCUAGGAAUAAGCCCCGGCUAACUACGUGCCAGCAGCCGCGGUAAAACGUAGGGGGCAAGCGUUGUCCGGAAUUACUGGGCGUAAAGCGCGCGCAGGUGGGUAGGUAAGACAGACGUGAAAGGCUAGAGCUAAACUGUAGCAUUGCGUAUGAGACUGCCUAUCUUGAGUACAGCAGAGGAAAGUGGAAUUCCCGGUGUAGUGGUGAAAUGCGUAGAUAUCGGGAGGAAUACCAGUGGCGAAGGCGGCUUUCUGGGCUGUUACUGACGCUGAGGCGCGAAGGCGUGGGGAGCGAACCGAAUUAGAUACUCGGGUAGUCCACGCGGUAAACGAUGGACACUAGGUGUGGGGGGUAUCGACCCCCUCCGUGCCGAAGCGAACGCGAUAAGUGUCCCGCCUGGGGAGUACGGCCGCAAGGCUAAAACUCAAAGGAAUUGACGGGGGCCCGCACAAGCAGCGGAGCGUGUGGUUUAAUUCGACGCAACGCGAAGAACCUUA